CUAUGUAAUUAUGCCUUAGGUUAUAACUUACAGGCGCCUUUUAUCCUACCCUUAAAAUAGACACGUAGCACACGCUUUCAAGCUUGAUUUCAUUCCGACCCUAGUAUCUUCUACAUCUUUCACUCCACUAUUUCUCCCUCUUCACUUCUUCAUCGCUACCUCUUUCUCUGCUGAUUUUGUAUAUCUCUAUUUGAAUUCUCAAUAAUAUAUAAAUCGGGAGGAAUUGCAGACGGAAAUUGUUCAGGGAUGAAAAAGAGGUUAAGAGACGCGGGAGAAGAUUAUCUACUUGUGCCUUUGAUAUUCUCACGGUGAAUUGGAGAAUAUCAGGUAGUUGAUAGACAGCUGCCACGUGCUGUUUCCAUAGGUUUUCGACAAACAUGCUUUGUUCUGAAGAGUUACUUGAUGCAUGGUAGCAAAUACGAUAGUUCCUUAAGAAGUAAGGAGGAUACCCAUGCUGAAUUAAAUGCAUUUUUUCAGAGCUGUGGGUGAGACGUGCUAGAUGAAAUAAUAGAUGCUAACUUCUUCGUCUUUGUGGUUUGACGUGUACAUUUGCAGCCAUCGAGGCUCUUAAAUGUCAAAAAUAUGUCCAAAGGUGUUACUUAAUGCAGUGUUGUGUAUGCCAUAAACAGUAACUAUAAAAACAAAUGGCUCAGGAGACCUUGCAAGUUUUCUAUUUUCUCUUUUCAAAGUGGAAAAACCAGCCUGCCGAAUGGAUUGACUAAUGCGUCUCAAAUUACUUCCUUUGGCAGACAAGAGGAAGAAAAUAGUCUAUGUGGAGUAUUUUAGCAAGAGGCUGAACUCAAGCAGUUAGUAUAUUAUGUGAAAGAAAGCCAGAUGAAAUGGAGAAACUGGUAACUCAGUAACUGCUUCUCAAUAGAAAUGAAGGAAAAUUAUUUUACAUUUCUUGCCAUGAAUUUUCUGGACUUCAAAAUUGGUGUAAACAAAGGGAUGGAAAAGAGGUUAAGAGACGCAGGAGAAGAUUAUCUACUUGUGCCUUUGAUAUUGUCACGGUGAAUUGGAGAAUGUCAGGUAGUUGAUAGACAGCUGUCAGGUAAUUUCUUUUUAAUUCAUUGUUUUUCUCUUUUUAGCUUUAAUAUCUUUUGUGAUUUCUGUGUUUGAUAUAGAUUUUAACUUUUUAAUCCAUUCCAAUUAUAACAGUUGUCGAAUCUGAAUUUGAAAUUAUCAAGUUUCAUGUGAUUUGAAUGUUGAAUAAUUUUGAUAUUACGCUCAGAAAAUGCAGAAAAUUCAUAGUCGCCUCGAUUAACCAGAUCCCAUGGGAUAGCAGUCGUUUAAUUUUCCUUUAAGUACUCAUAAAUCUUUGAUGUUCAACACCUGGGAGUUAACGCCCCAGGCUAUAAGCUGGCUUUAAGGUUUGUCAGCCCACUUCCCCUGAGAAACCAUCUUGCCCUCAACAUUUAUAUGAGUGGAUGCAGCUAGCAAUUCUUAUUAACGCACCAACAACAAUAACAGCUACGUUCAAACUGGUCGUUCCUUAUUAGCAAACCAAAAUUUUGAAAAUGUUACACCGAAGAUAGGAGACAAAAGCCACUCUGUUAUUGUACCUGUUAUCUGGAAGGUAGGAUAUUACUCUUCAGUGUAAUAUUUAUGAAGAUUUGUUUGUGGAUUAUUGGUUAAGAAAAUUUAUUGAUAUCUUUAAAAGGAAUAUUAUAAAGUUGAGUCAAAUUGGGCGGUUGGGUUGUGACUCAUCAUUUAGCCCAUCUUGAUCUAAUCCAUCUUUGUUCAAGCAAGCUUCGGGCAGAGUUGGCAUUGGUCAUGUUCAUACCUGAGUUAUAAUCGAGAGGGUUAUGCUUUGCUUUAGCACCUGAUGUCACGUAACAGGAAGCAACUCUUCAUAUGUAUGUACUGGCAUAUAUAAAGAUGCAACGCAAUUUGACUUGCAUGUCUAUCGUAAAGGUAAUUAAUGUUCUGGAGAAACUAAAAGUAUGUCAUUCAGGUGCUGUUUCCAUAGUUUUUCGACAAAAUUCACAAAAUUAAGAAUUAGUGAGGGAGUUGAAGGAAAAGAAGUAUACAAAGAGUACAGAUAAAUUUAAGAUGAUUCACAUCUACAAAAAACCAGCCUUUGCGUUCAACUAAGGGUGCUUACGUUGAGCUUUAGAGAUUGUCUCUGUUUGCUAUAGAAACAUGCUUUGUUCUGAAGAGUUACUUGAUGCAUGGUAGCAAAUACGAUAGUUCCUUAAGAAGUAAGGAGGAUACCCAUGCUGAAUUAAAUGCAGUUUUUCAUAGCUGUGGGUGAGACGUGCUAGAUGAAAUAAUAGAUGCUAACUUCUUCGUCUUUGUGGUGAGAACCGAAUUUGUUAUCCAUUUUUUAUGUCAAUUGAAUUUGAAUUUUAAGUAUCAGAUAUUUUUUCUUCAAUUUGUAGCUUGACAUCAACUGCCAUAAAAUCGUAAAAACUUUAGCCUUUAGCUCACUAGCAUCAUGAUAUGUUGAAGCUUACUUUAGAUCAUACUGUCGUUUAGAGGGUAAGCAAACAGGCCAGCACAAAGAACAAACUGGAGGGCACUCUGCGAAUAUUGAAUUUGUACUUUAUAUCCUUUCAUGUUAUCUGGAUCUAUUGGUGUUCUGAAAGUACACCAAAUCCUCUUUAUAAUAUUUUUCUUUCAAAUAUGAAAAUAAAAAAGAAUAAAUCUAUUUUUGGCACUCUUCUAAAUUUCAAUUUCUUUUAAUUGACUGGUGGUUACCUGCUUUUUAUGGGUGCUUGAAGACUUCUCCUUAAUAUUGUGAUUUUUGGAAUGGUAAAGAUUGGCUGCGACACUGGUGAAAACAGCCCCUGCUAGAUGUUCAAGAUGAAAACAAAUAUGUCUGUGAUGUAUAGGUGGAUGGAUAUAUUUUCUAUAAUUUCUUUGGGUAUUUUGUCUAUAAUAUAAUAUUAGAAUGGUUCUUCUAGACAGUGGAGCAAGGCCCUUCCUCACAUAUAUUGUACAUAAGAGUAUCCUAUUAAGUUCUUUGAUUAAGUUUUACAAAUUGUCAUGUAUUUCAUCUUCUACAAAUGCAACAACAGUUUUCUCGGCAAAUUAAAAACAAAAACAAAAACCUUCAGGGGUUAAAAAACAAUUGCAAGGAGCAGAUAAAAAAGCAAAAUAUAAAAAAUAAAAAAUCAACCUAAAAAUAAAAACCUGCAAGGGUAAAAAAACAAGGGAUUGCGAGGAGCGGAAAAAACCCUAUGAAAUUCAAACAUGGGAGAACUAACUGAUCCACCUUCUCUUACUCAUAUAUGUUCCACUCCUGUUCUUUGUUUCUUCUUUACAGUCGUUUUCGAUUCCCCUUUUUCAAAAUUGGCUUUAAUUGUUCACUAUACCAGAUAAAUCAAAGCCUGAGAUACCGUUUUCCAGUGAGAUGAUCUUACAAGAUUAAGAGGUAACAGGAUAUAAUAUUACUUUUUGUACUUUUUCAAAUUCCUGUAUUAUGAUCAGGAGACAGUAUUACUUUUUUUGUCUACCUUCAUCAUUCUUCUCUUUUUUCAGUAUUUUGAUAAGCCUUCAUGCUGUUUUUUUCUCAUAAUCUUAGUGUCGUUUGAAUCUUAAAGGAAAGUUAGAGUCGUUCAAAAAUAUCUGACAUGUGAAUGUUGUUCAUCAUCUGUACUUUUUGCAGGAACAUUUUAUUAGAUGAUGUGUUCACUUUCGUUUCCAUUUAUUUACAGCGCUUCUUUUUUGUUUUUGCAUAUCACUAUUUUUAGCUUACUAUGUUUCCACUGGCCUCAAACUGUUUUUGGGAAAGUGUAGUUUUGGACAAAAUAUGCUGAGCAUUAAUUCAAGAGAGAUCAUUAUGGAUUAACGACCAAAUUUAAAUAUAAACCGUCUUCUUAAGAUUAAUUUUUAAUUUAUGGUGUUUCGCUGCGUAACAGGAUCCACAGUUUCAUGAUGGACAAAGCUUUGGUGGAGAGAAGGUUUUUCAGGAAAAACCAGCCUGCCGAAUGGACUGACUAAUGCGUCUCAAAUUACUCCCUUUGGCAGACAAGAGGAAGAAAAUAGUCUAUGUGGAGUAUUUUAGCAAGUCUGAACUCAAGCAGAAAGAAAGCCAGAUGAAAUGGAGAAAAGCUGCUUCUCAAUAGAAAUGAAAGUUAUUUUACAUUUCUUGCCAUGAAUUUUCUGGACUUCAAAAUUGGUGUAAACAAAGAUUGAAGUAGUGAAUGUAUCAGUUGUCCAGUCGAGAAACAAGAGGUGUUUUCUAAGUGACGAUGUCAACGACAUGAGAAAAUAAGAGAAUGUGCUGAGCUCAAAUUGUGCUUCAGAUGCCUCUUUAGCAAUACAUUGUUCCUUCCAGUUUACACUGACUAUUAGCGUUCUGCAAUUUGGUGAAGAAAAUUGUCAUAUGGAUGAAACUUUGUUGGAAUACCAAGCGCACGCCGUGGCAAGGCAGAUACCUUCUCUGUGAGAGCUCGCUAAUCAAAUAGUUGAACUGUGUGAAGCUUUAGGAGUAAAAUGUGCAGUAGUAAGCCUUUGUAUCCCUUUUUAGGUGAAGUAAGCAGAAAUGGUUAACAGAUUGUAAUCUCUUUGCCAACAAUUAGUUUUUAAAUUAGCUAAUAUAUGAGGCAGAGUUGGUGACUCAGAGGUGGAGUUAUGGAAGUGCAUGCUAAGUUGCUACCAAAGGAGUACCAGCUGUACGGCCGGUGGUCUACUGGUUAUGCUGAAUGAAAGGCACCCCCAGUUGAAAUUCCACCUCUCUCCAAUCUCAAUGCCUUUGUUGAUUACUUCUGGCUGCAGAUUUCUACAUCAGUCACUGUCAUGUAAUACUUACAUUGCCUUCUACUUACGUUAGUGUUAUUUGUAUAGCAGUAUUUCCUUUUGUUUCGUGCAAUUGAAAUGUGUCGACAGUAAUAGAAUGUAAAACUCUUUUUGCUUUCUUGAGGCGAUAUUUCAUGUUGGGAAGAACAUUCAUUAUUUAUGAUAAACCUGAUUUGAAAUAAUGACAGUUUAUAUUAACUGUAUUUAUUUAGAAAUUGAAGUAGUGAAUGUGUU